rnacentral:tRNA from 1 species
GCACAGAUGGUGUAACGGCAACAUCACGGUCUCCAAAACCGUUGUUCGAGGUUCAAACCCUCGUCUGUGCG